UACGGAGGGGACUAGCGUUGUUCGGAAUUACUGGGCGUAAAGCGCACGUAGGCGGAUUUGUAAGUCAGGGGUGAAAUCCCGGGGCUCAACCUCGGAACUGCCUUUGAUACUGCAAAUCUCGAGUCCGGAAGAGGUGAGUGGAAUUCCUAGUGUAGAGGUGAAAUUCGUAGAUAUUAGGAAGAACACCAACGGCGAACGCGGCUCACUGGCCCGGUACUGACGCUGAGGCACGAAAGCGUGGGGAGCAAACAGG
rnacentral:rRNA from 1 species